GUCGAGAAUAUUCGACAAUGGGCGAAAGCCUGAUCGAGCGACGCCGCGUGCAGGAAGAAGGCCUUAGGGUUGUAAACUGCUUUUGCGCGAGAAGAACCCGCAAGGGUGACACCAUCGCGCGAAUAAGAAGAUGCUAACUCUGUGCCAGCAGCAGCGGUAAUACAGAGUCUUCAAGCGUUAUCCGGAUUUAUUGGGCGUAAAGCGUCUGUAGGCGGUCCGUAAAGUUUUUCGUCAAAUAUCCGGGGCUCAACCCCGGAAAUGCGGAAAAAACUAACGGACUUGAGGGCGUUAGGGGCCGGCGGAACGUACGGUGUAGGGGUGAAAUCCGUUGAUAUCGUACGGAACACCAAAAGCGAAGGCAGCCGGCUGGAACGGUCCUGACGCUGAGAGACGAAAGCGUGGGGAGCAAAAAGGAUUAGAAACCCCGGUAGUCC
rnacentral:rRNA from 1 species